GAUGAACGCUAGCGGCAGGCCUAACACAUGCAAGUCGAGGGGCAGCACGAUUGAGCUUGCUUAAUCGGUGGCGACCGGCGCACGGGUGCGUAACGCGUAUGCAACCUACCUUAUACUGGGGUAUAGCCCGAAGAAAUUCGGAUUAAUCCCCCAUAGCAUUAUCGAUUCGCAUGUUUUGAUAAUUAAAGGUUACGGUAUAA
rnacentral:rRNA from 1 species